rnacentral:rRNA from 1 species
AUGAACGCUAGCUACAGGCUUAACACAUGCAAGUCGAGGGGCAGCAUGAACUUAGCUUGCUAAGUUUGAUGGCGACCGGCGCACGGGUGAGUAACACGUAUCCAACCUGCCGAUGACUCGGGGAUAGCCUUUCGAAAGAAAGAUUAAUACCCGAUGGCAUAGUUCUUCCGCAUGGUAGAACUAUUAAAGAAUUUCGGUCAUCGAUGGGGAUGCGUUCCAUUAGGUUGUUGGCGGGGUAACGGCCCACCAAGCCUUCGAUGGAUAGGGGUUCUGAGAGGAAGGUCCCCCACAUUGGAACUGAGACACGGUCCAAACUCCUACGGGAGGCAGCAGUGAGGAAUAUUGGUCAAUGGACGAGAGUCUGAACCAGCCAAGUAGCGUGAAGGAUGACUGCCCUAUGGGUUGUAAACUUCUUUUAUACGGGAAUAAAGUGAGGCACGUGUGCCUUUUUGUAUGUACCGUAUGAAUAAGGAUCGGCUAACUCCGUGCCAGCAGCCGCGGUAAUACGGAGGAUCCGAGCGUUAUCCGGAUUUAUUGGGUUUAAAGGGAGCGUAGGCGGACGCUUAAGUCAGUUGUGAAAGUUUGCGGCUCAACCGUAAAAUUGCAGUUGAUACUGGGUGUCUUGAGUACAGUAGAGGCAGGCGGAAUUCGUGGUGUAGCGGUGAAAUGCUUAGAUAUCACGAAGAACUCCGAUUGCGAAGGCAGCCUGCUGGACUGUAACUGACGCUGAUGCUCGAAAGUGUGGGUAUCAAACAGGAUUAGAUACCCUGGUAGUCCACACAGUAAACGAUGAAUACUCGCUGUUUGCGAUAUACAGUAAGCGGCCAAGCGAAAGCGUUAAGUAUUCCACCUGGGGAGUACGCCGGCAACGGUGAAACUCAAAGGAAUUGACGGGGGCCCGCACAAGCAGUGGAGUAUGUGGUUUAAUUCGAAGCAACGCGAAGAACCUUACCAGGUCUUGACAUCCGAUGCAUAGCGCAGAGAUGCGUGAAGUCCUUCGGGACAUCGAGACAGGUGGUGCAUGGUUGUCGUCAGCUCGUGCCGUGAGGUGUCGGCUUAAGUGCCAUAACGAGCGCAACCCUUAUCGAUAGUUACCAUCAGGUUAUGCUGGGGACUCUGUCGAGACUGCCGUCGUAAGAUGUGAGGAAGGUGGGGAUGACGUCAAAUCAGCACGGCCCUUACGUCCGGGGCUACACACGUGUUACAAUGGGGGGUACAGAAGGCAGCUACACGGCGACGUGAUGCUAAUCCCUAAAGCCUCUCUCAGUUCGGAUUGGAGUCUGCAACCCGACUCCAUGAAGCUGGAUUCGCUAGUAAUCGCGCAUCAGCCACGGCGCGGUGAAUACGUUCCCGGGCCUUGUACACACCGCCCGUCAAGCCAUGAAAGCCGGGGGUACCUGAAGUGCGUAACCGCAAGGAGCGCCCUAGGGUAAAACUGGUGAUUGGGGCU